rnacentral:rRNA from 1 species
GAUGAACGCUGGCGGCGUGCCUAAUACAUGCAAGUCGAGCGAACGGACGAAACGCUUGCUGCUCUGAUGUUAGCGACGGGCGGGUGAGUCACAAGUAGAUAACCUACCUAUAUGACUUAACUAACUUCGAGAAAGCGGAGCUAAUACCAGAUACUAUUUUGAACCGCAUGGUUCAUAGGAGAAAGACGGUCUUUCUGUCACUUACAGAUGGGUCCGCGGUGCAUCAGCUUGUUGGUGAGGUAAUGGCUGACCAAGGCAACGAUGGGUAGCCGACCUGAGAGGGUGACCGGCGACACUGGGACUGAGAGACGGCCCAGACUCGUACGGGAGGCAGAAGUGGGGAAUAUUGCACAAGGGGCGCAAGCCUGAUGCAGCAACGCCGCGUGAGGGAUAACGGCCUUCGGGUUGUAAACCUCUUUUAGUAGGGAAGAAGCGCAAGUGACGGUACCUGAAGAAAAAGCACCGGCUAACUACGUG